rnacentral:rRNA from 1 species
UGCAGUCGAACGGCAGCACAGAGGAGCUUGCUCCUUGGGUGGCGAGUGGCGGACGGGUGAGGAAUACAUCGGAAUCUACUCUGUCGUGGGGGAUAACGUAGGGAAACUUACGCUAAUACCGCAUACGACCUACGGGUGAAAGCAGGGGACCUUCGGGCCUUGCGCGAUUGAAUGAGCCGAUGUCGGAUUAGCUAGUUGGCGGGGUAAAGGCCCACCAAGGCGACGAUCCGUAGCUGGUCUGAGAGGAUGAUCAGCCACACUGGAACUGAGACACGGUCCAGACUCCUACGGGAGGCAGCAGUGGGGAAUAUUGGACAAUGGGCGCAAGCCUGAUCCAGCCAUACCGCGUGGGUGAAGAAGGCCUUCGGGUUGUAAAGCCCUUUUGUUGGGAAAGAAAUCCAGCUGGCUAAUACCCGGUUGGGAUGACGGUACCCAAAGAAUAAGCACCGGCUAACUUCGUGCCAGCAGCCGCGGUAAUACAAAGGG